GACGAACGCUGGCGGCGUGCCUAAUACAUGCAAGUAGAACGCUGAAGGAGGAGCUUGCUCUUCUGGAUGAGUUGCGAACGGGUGAGUAACGCGUAGGUAACCUGCCUGGUAGCGGGGGAUAACUAUUGGAAACGAUAGCUAAUACCGCAUAAGAGUAGAUGUUGCAUGACAUUUGCUUAAAAGGUGCAAUUGCAUCACUACCAGAUGGACCUGCGUUGUAUUAGCUAGUUGGUGGGGUAACGGCUCACCAAGGCGACGAUACAUAGCCGACCUGAGAGGGUGAUCAGCCACACUGGGACUGAGACACGGCCCAGACGCCUACGGGAGGCAGCAGUAGGGAAUCUUCGGCAAGGGACGGAAGUCUGAGCGAGCAACGCCGCGUGAGUGAAGAAGGUUUUCGGAUCGUAAAGCUCGGUUGUAAGAGAAGAACGAGUGUGAGAGUGGAAAGUUCACACUGUGACGGUAUCUUACCAGAAAGGGACGGCUAACUACGUG
rnacentral:rRNA from 1 species